UGGGUAACCUGCCUCAAAGAGGGGAAUAGCCUCCCGAAAGGGAGAUUAAUACCGCAUAAUAUGUUUAAGUCGCAUGACUUUAACAUCAAAAGGAUUUUUCUUUUAAGAAAAUUCCACUUUGAGAUGGACCCGCGGCGCAUUAGCUAGUUGGUGAGGUAACGGCUCACCAAGGCAACGAUGCGUAGCCGACCUGAGAGGGUNAUCGGCCACAUUGGAACUGAGACACGGUCCAGACUCCGUAGGGAGG
rnacentral:rRNA from 1 species